rnacentral:rRNA from 1 species
CCUAGACUCAUUAGAUGGGUUCUCUUGCUCCAAGAGUUUGACUUGCAUAUUGUUGAUAGAAAAGGAGCUGAGAACCCCGUUGUAGACACCUUGUCUAGGCUAGAAAAUAUUCUUGAUGACCCACUGCUUAUUAAUGAUAGCUUUCCUGAUGAACAAUUAGCGGUCGUCAAUGCUUCUCGUACUGCUCCUUGUUAUGCUGACUAUGCUAAUUACAUUGUUGCUAAAUAUAUACCGCCUAGUUUCACAUACCAGCAAAAGAAAAAGUUCUUUUAUGAUUUAAGACAUUACUUCUGGGAUGAUCCACACCUUUAA